AUUGUAGUCUGCAACCCGACUACAUGAAGCUGGAAUCGCUAGUAAUCGCAGGUCAGCAUACUGCGGUGAAUACGUUCCCGGGUCUUGUACACACCGCCCGUCACACCAUGGGAGCCGGAAAUGCCCGAAGCCAGCGACCCAACCUUAGGGAGGGAGCUGUCGAAGGUGGAGCCGGUAACUGGGGUGAAGUCGUAACAAGGUAUC
rnacentral:rRNA from 1 species